UGGGGAAUAUUGGACAAUGGGGGAAACCCUGAUCCAGCGACGCCGCGUGGGUGAUGAAGGCUUUCGGGUCAUAAAGCCCUGUCAGGAGGAAAGAAUGCUCCUAUGAUAAAUACUCAUAGGAAGUGACGGUACCUCCAAAGGAAGCACCGGCCAACUCCGUGCCAGCAGCCGCGGUAAGACGGAGGGUGCAAGCGUUGCUCGGAAUUACUGGGCGUAAAGGGUGCGUAGGCGGCCUUUCAAGUCCGGCGUGAAAGCCCAGGGCUCAGCCUUGGAAGUGCGCUAGAAACUGAAUGGCUAGAGUAUCGGAUGGGAGAGUGGAAUUCCUGGUGUAGCGGUGAAAUGCGUAGAUAUCAGGAGGAAUACCGGUGGCGAAGGCGACUCUCUGGACGAUAACUGACGCUGAGGCACGAAAGCGUGGGGAGCAAACAGGAUUAGAUACCCUAGUAGUCCCUGAGCGGGCUGGCAAGGCGCAU
rnacentral:rRNA from 1 species